UACGGGGGGGGGCAAGCGUUGUUCGGAAUUACUGGGCGUAAAGGGUUCGUAGGUGGCUUGCUCAGUCAGACGUGAAAUCCCUCAGCUUAACUGGGGAACUGCGUCUGAUACUAGCGAGCUUGAGUGCAGGAGAGGAACGCGGAAUUCCAGGUGUAGCGGUGAAAUGCGUAGAUAUCUGGAGGAACACCAAUGGCGAAGGCAGCACUCUGGGACGUGACUGACGCUGAGACGCGAAAGCGUGGGGAGCAAACAGGG
rnacentral:rRNA from 1 species